GACAGAGGGUGCAAACGUUGUUCGGAAUUACUGGGCGUAAAGCGCGUGUAGGCUGCCCUGCAAGUCGGAUGUGAAAGCCCUGGGCUCAACCUAGGAAGUGCAUUCGAAACUGCAGGGCUGGAGUCCUGGAGAGGAAGGCUGAAUUCUCGGUGUAGAGGUGAAAUUCGUAGAUAUCGAGAGGAACACCGGUGGCGAAGGCGGCCUUCUGGACAGUGACUGACGCUGAGACGCGAAAGCGUGGGGAGCAAACAGG
rnacentral:rRNA from 1 species